GGCUGGUCCAAAGAAAGUGAGUUAUCUCAAUUGAUUGUUCAGUCAGUUACAGAUCGAACUACUUGUUCUACUCUUUCCCGGCUUCUCACUACUGCACUUGACCGGUCUUUA
rnacentral:Y_RNA from 1 species